UACGUAGGUCCCGAGCGUUGUCCGGAUUUAUUGGGCGUAAAGCGAGCGCAGGCGGUUAGAUAAGUCUGAAGUUAAAGGCUGUGGCUUAACCAUAGUACGCUUUGGAAACUGUUUAACUUGAGUGCAAGAGGGGAGAGUGGAAUUCCAUGUGUAGCGGUGAAAUGCGUAGAUAUAUGGAGGAACACCGGUGGCGAAAGCGGCUCUCUGGCUUGCAACUGACGCUGAGGCUCGAAAGCGUGGGGAGCAAACAGGAUUAGAUACCCUGGUAGUCCACGCCGUAAACGAUGAGUGCUAGGUGUUAGACCCUUUCCGGGGUUUAGUGCCGCAGCUAACGCAUUAAGCACUCCGCCUGGGGAGUACGACCGCAAGGUUGAAACUC
rnacentral:rRNA from 1 species